GUAUAAAUGAUGAUUGAAAUAAUUGUGAUUGAAUUAUUUCAUAAACUUAUCUUACAUACACUUGCAUGUUUUUGACAAAACUCACAAAUCAACACACACACCAACCUUAUCCCUCCCCAAAACCAGCCACUCCCUCAAAGGGAGUACUUUUGGGGCUUUUAUGCAAUUACAUAAAGUUUUGAUACUUUUGUGUAUUUGCACUUUGGCCCAAAAGUUUACGUUUUUACGUUAAGGUCCAAAAACGCUAAAGGACAAAUUGUUUUGAUCCUUUAAUGAUGUUUUUGCAUUAUUAAAAGUUUGGGUUCUAGUUGUAUUUACAUGAAGUUGUGACUUUUGUGUAUUAUACAAAGUGACCCCAAAAGUUUUUUGUUUUUGCAAUAUGGCCCAAAAGUUGAGGUUAAUUGCAUGAUGGCACAAAUAGGAUGAGAACAAAAUUGUUUUGUCUCUUUAAAUGAGAAUUGGAUUUUCAUUUUGUUUAGCUCCAUUUAAAUCAAUCUUAUGGAUACAAAAACCAAAUGAAAAUGUUGCAUUCAAUUAAUUAGUUAAAGUGUUAAUUAAUUAAAGGGUG
rnacentral:lncRNA from 1 species